UUAAUUUCUUCAAAUUUGAAGCAUGACGUUAAUGGAGUACCAGCACAACUUCAUUGACUGCUACGUGGCGCUGGUGGAAACUAAGGUAUUGCAUCGCUCAUAUCACUUGAAAAAAACAUUUACCCUAGUUACGACCAAAGCUGCUUAGCAGAGGGCGAUACCUCAUCAGGAGCGCCACAAUCAUAUCAUUGGUGUGAAAGCAUUUGUAUGAAGUUUUUCAGUUCUCAAUGUGUUCGAAACCUUAAUUGUGAAUUUGUGCACUUCGAAUUCAAAUUUACGUCACUACGUUAGUUUGACAUCCAUUGAUGUCACGGUAAUUUCACUGUUAUGCUGUGCUGCUUUCAGGUUUAAUGACACGAAUGAGUACAAGUACAUUACAUUUUUCGACGAAGGCCUUCUGUAAUUUCAUACGCUUCUUACGCAACAUUCAAUAGAUUUAUUUACUGUAUUAUCAUUUCGACCAAGGCGAAUUCGACACUUCAAUUACACAAGCACAAUCAAACUUAGUCAUUCCAGUCAGUUACUGAAGCACAGCGAAAACUGUCUGAAUUAGUGCUGCUGAUGGCAUGUAAUUACUCUACUACCACUACCAGUGACAGUCAAUGUCCAAAUAUUUUCAAGUGUGCGAAAUUAGUACUCGUCUACUUCUUAGUGUUAUUUGAAUGCAAUGUAUGUUAUAAAAAUAUUUUUUCAACACUAUAUCAACAUUCUCAUUCCUGUCAGUUUCUGAAAAUCAGCUAAAGCAUUCGCUACCAAUGCAGCUGAUAACAGCAAUUCUUUUUGUUCCCAAUGCCCAUCCAUGACAAUAUAUUUCACGCAUGUGACAAUCAUGUAAUCAUCCUGUUUUUUGUGUUCUAUUCAUGCAAUAAAUAAAUUCAGUAUUUUCAAAUCAUUGGUGCUACAAAACUAUUCUCAUUAUAGAUUAUUCAUAUUUUAUAAAAUGCUGUCAUGUCAAAUUUUGUGUCCUAUAAAUCAUAAUGAAGUCGGCAUUUUAUAUACAACUUUUGUACUCCUCCUAAAUAAACAUACAAAUCUUGUUUUAUGUAAACUUUGUAUAUGUGACCCGUCACAGCAAAACCAGGCGCAUGUCGCUCUGAGCUUGGCAGGUUGAGACGGACUGUUCUAAUCUUUCAUUAGCGACACCAUUUCUUACCAGAGUGCCUCCUUCAUUCAUUCAUCUUGUACUUUAACUCAAGAUACCCAUCUUUGAAUAUUUUUAGUAUACCAAGUACUACAAUGUCAAUGUAUUGAAGUCAUGUUCUUGUAGUGUUAUUGGCUUUCUAUUAUCUUGUCAAAAUACCACUUGGUUCUCGCAAAAUCUCAAUAAAAACAAAUGCUAUUGCAUGUAUUGCAUAUUCUAACAGCUAUCCACUGUAUCGAUUUAUCCAUCAUCUGUAGUAUUUGUCACAAAAAUGUUAUAUUAUGUAAAUCAUAUUUCAUUACAUAAUGCACACUGCCAAUUACUGCUGAACCAUUCAUAUGUCAUUUAAAUAAAUAAUUUUCAACUUUUUAAAACCGUCUUAUAGUACUGUUCUUGUCACUUAGCUGAACCAAUUGCUCUAUAGCAUGAAAUUUCCAGAAAUGCCCCAGGGACUGAAAAGUGCUGUUUUAACAGAGAGGUGUCCUAAACUGAGAAGUCGAGUUGAAUGGAAACAA